rnacentral:rRNA from 1 species
UACAGAGGUCCCAAGCGUUGUUCGGAUUCAUUGGGCGUAAAGGGUGUGUAGGUGGCGCCGUAAGUCGGGUGUGAAAUUUCGGAGCUUAACUCCGAAACUGCAUUCGAUAACUGCGGUGCUUGAGGACUGGAGAGGAGUACUGGAAUUCGAUGGUGUAGCAGUGAAAUGCGUAGAGAUCAUGAGGAAGACCAGUGGCGAAGGCGGGUC